AGCGGAACUGGCAGUAGCAGGCCGGGUAGCGCGCCACAAUAGCAGUUGUGAGGAAGAGGGACUCCGGAGGAUCUGAGCUGAGCCACGCAGGAACCCGGAAUGUUCACUGUCACGAAAGAGGUCCGCAGCAGUGUAGCAGCUAAGCCCACACAAUGGACAAGCUGUGUAUGCAAGGUCCUGCGGAGGGCGCUGAUUCUUCUGUAGACAUACCAGUUAUAGAUGAAACGGAUGGCGAAAGAGUUUCUCAGGGAGAAGAAGAGGAGAUUGGAAACUCACCAUACAUCAGAGGUCACUUUAGCCGUUUGCCUGUGAAAGCUGCCCAUGGAGAACAGAUCAAGAGAUUUGAUGCUGAGGCUGGGAAUGAGCAGUGAAGACGAAGAUAGCAAGUAAACAAGAAAGUAAUGAGAUAAAGACGUCAAGAGGAUAAACUGAGAAAUAGGUUCAGAUUAUGGGCAGCUAUACAUUAUAUAUUUAUCAGAAAAGUGGCUUACAAUGAGGACAUUGGUUAUGCCAUACCACAUAGUAUUAAGAAUAAACCAUGAUGGAAGGGGACUAUAUUGGCCUUGUCUAUAAUACUGGAGACCAUCUGUAGAUAUUCCCCAAAAGAUGUGGACUUAUUUUUUUUCAUGGAUUUAUUACUCGUGUGUAUCUGACAGUGUUGAAUCAUACACGUUAUCCCAAAGAUGAGACCUGUGAAGGACUAGCACAAUUGUGUAUACCUGAGAAAUGCAGCUCUAGAAGAACACACAGCUCACAACGGUUAAUUGAAAGACAAGAAAGGAGAGUCAGUGUGGCUGGAGAUUCAACUACUGCAAAACCAGGAUAUACUUAGAGAGGAGCAAAAUAAUGUUCUACAAUGAAAGCAGAUGGAAUGAAGACUCUGGUGACCAGAUGGAAUGAGGACUCUGGUGACCAGAUGGAAUGAGGACUCUGGUGACCAGAUGGAAUGAGGACUCUGGUGACCAGAUGAAAUGAGGACUCUGGUGACCAGAUGAAAUGAGGACUCUGGUGACCAGAUGAAAUGAGAACUCUGGUGACCAGAUGGAAUGAGGACUCUGGUGACCAGAUGGAAUGAGGACUCUGGUGACCAGAUGGAAUGAGGACUCUGGUGACCAGAUGGAAUGAGGACUCUGGUGACCAGAUGGAAUGAGGACUCUGGUGACCAGGGUUUACAUGGAUACUCAUAAGGAACAUUUACAAAUAAAAAAUGUAGAUAACCAGAAAAGAAGAUUAGGUUUGGGAUAAUGCCACAACAAAAUGGCUCCAUGCGGCCAUAUUUUCCAGGACAGUCCUGGCUUUUACAUGUAACUUUGAAAAUACUAUUUUUAUACUCCGGAUUAGCUAAAUGAGUACUGUACCAAUGUUUUUUUAUAACUAUUACAGUGUAUAUCACUAGCAUCAUUGACUGGCUUUUAUGAUCAGGCCAAACAUUAUGCGUCAGGCUCUUCUGUUUCGUAUAUAUACAUAUGGCACUAAGAAUUAACCAGCAAUAAGUAAAGGUUAAUGCACUGCUUAUCCAUGAGACACCUAAGCCUUUAUUCAUGUGAACAGCAGCUACAACAGUUUCCAAAACUCUGCCAUUGCAGUCCAGCUUUUAAGCAUAUCCAUGCUUGAGCACAGGUGACUUAUUUAACACCUCAGUCAAUUUGAUUUAAUCAUCUGAACUCGAGCAUAGAUGUACUUAAAACCUGGACUGUAACUGUGGCGUUUGGGAAACUCUGCGCUAUAAGCUUGCACUUAUCAAGCACAUUCAAUAAAAUGAUGACGCUAUUUGGAUGAUAACUUCUCAACUUGUCCACUUCUCCACUCUUUAGAAGAUUUAAUACAACUACCCUUACUCACACUGCUCUGCCAUGUUACAUGUGCCAAGUGCUUGUACCCACCCCAAGUUAAGUACCACCUGUCACUGAAUAUCCAAGUUGCAAACAUACAUACCCAACAUGCAUUAUAUUCUAGCUUGCUCGCACUCUCAAAAUGUUCCUUGACCUCUCACAAUGGGAAAAUCUCACAAGUCAGCUCAUUUAAUAUUUCUCGCAAUUGUACCAUUUUUCUGUAUUUGCUCUGACCUGAUUUACUGAUCCCAUCCUGCCUACAAAUGCUCUGUGCACCUAUAAAGCCAUUAUCACUUGGUGCAGAAAUAAAUGCAUUUACAUCACACAUGCACAAAAGAUGCUUAUGUGUGUUCGGCACUUUCUGCAGGUUGGAUUAAUUACCAGGAACAAGAAAUAACACCAAAAACCGCAAUGAUGUAGUAACAGUGGCAAACGCAGGAUUUCUAGAGGGGGGUUUCCAAAUGCAAUCCAUAAUCUACUACUCUGCGGAGCAAGUGCAGGAGUCUGGGGGAGCGGUAGAAGAACCUAGUAACAAUCCUGAACAUUGGUACUUUUCAUACAUUGUGUAGAUAGUGUAUGUAAUACAGUAUUAAUAUUUAACACUAUAGAUUGUCUAUAGCAUAGGCAGUAUUAAACAUAAUAACCAAUAUAAAUAAGAUAAGUGGUCAGGAAGAGGUUAACAAACCAUAAUAAAUAAAUACGUAAACAGAAUUGAACCAGUAGUAGACAGCAGAGUUCGCUUUCUAAGCACACAUUCUCCCACCUCAUGGAAAGGCUUCUGUUUCUUCUUCCUGGCAGCUACCUGCAUAUUAUAUACCAUUGCUAUUGUUGCUAUAAUUUGAGACACUUGCCAAGAGGAAGGGGGUUUCCAAGCAACCAGAAAUCCCCCCUGCGUUUGCCUAUGAGUAACAAUCAGGAAAUAUAAGAUAUAUUUAGGAAAACCCUAAAUUGCAAACAAAAUAAAAAAUAAAUGUGCAUAAACCACAUACACAUAAUUGCAGUAGAUGUAUCACAUAUAUAUAUAUAUAUAUAUAUAUAUAUAUAUAUAUACCUGGGUUGGUGUUUGUACGUGCAGCAUAUGGUACUGAUCUGUGAUCUGUGCUCUGGUCUUGAUCCCUUUCAAAAGAGUAUUGAAUGCUUUCUGAAGGUAACAUCGAUAACUACAUCCAUAUCAUCCUGUAAUAUACAAAUGAUGCUACUAUAUGUACACAUUACUGUAAAUAAUAUCCCUAUGAACAGUGCUGUUUAAUGUCGUUACUUCAGUAGUCAUUAGGAAAACAUGUAAGGAUUACUCACACUUUCCCAUAAACGAUUAGAUAUUAAUUAAUAAUAAGAAUAAUCAUAAUCAUUUUAUUUAUAUAGCACUCUUUCUCUAGGACUAGGACUCAAGGCACUUAACAGAUAGAAUGAACACAAUACAGUACUGAAACAAUGAAAUUCAGAAAAGCUUUUCAUACAAUACAGAGAGCAGGAGAUACUGAUGGGACAUUAAUGAAAUGCUGAGUAAGCAGGAAAGUCUUGAGUUUGUUUUUGAAGGAUUCUAGAGUGGCGGCCUCGAACUGUGCGGGGAAGUGCGUUCCAUAGAGUCAAAGCCACAUGACUAAAAGCUGGACCCCCAGAUAAUUCCGUGAGAUUUUAUGUACUGCUAAUAGACCUUCAUCUACAGGUCUCAUGAUUAUGUAAGAAUUUGAAAGUCAGUAAGCCAAUCUUGAAAUAGAUUCACCAACUUACAGGCAGCCAGUAAAGGGAGUAGAGGAUGGGUGUUAUGUGGCUGGAACGGGGCUGGUUAGUUAGCACCCUGACAGCUGCAUUUUGUACCAGCUGUAAGUGGUGCAAUUCUUAUGCUGGGAGACCCAGGUAGAGAGCAUUGCAGUUGUCUAAUUGAGAUGAUACAAAUGCAUGUAUGACUUCAGGCAGAUCUUCAGAAGGAAUUAGAUGCUUGAUUCUGGCAAUGUUCCUCAGGUGACAGAAUGAGAAUUUUACUGUGGCUGAUACCUGUUGUUCAAGUGUCGAGCCACAAUCCAGAUGCCACCAGACAUCCAUGACCUGUGUUAGACACUUAGAUUACGGCCAUGUUCCUCUAAGUCAUAGGUCUAAUACACCUGUGCACCUGCAAAACAUGCACUGUGUGGGGUAAUGAGGACCAAGUUUGCAGACCUAUGCUCUAUGUGGUCUCAAAACUCCUAUCAGACUUAUAAUAUCGAUAUAAUUUCUAGUAGGGAUGCAAAUUUUUUGUAGGGUAGCAUAUAUAAACAUCACAGUUUUAGUUGUGGUCAGAAAAAGAAAUCGCUGACACAGAUUUGUGCAUUCUUGCACUUGCAUUGCAUUCUGGUACUAUAAUUUCUGCAUUCUGCUACUAUAAUUUCCCAAGGUAACAAGUUUGUGUUGUCUUCUAUAUAUUUUCUAAUUGUAAAGAGUUGAGUAUAUAUUUGGUGUUAUAUAAAUAA